rnacentral:rRNA from 1 species
GAGUUUGAUCAUGGCUCAGGAUGAACGCUAGCGGGAGGCUUAACACAUGCAAGUCGAGGGGUAUAAGUAGCAAUAUUUAGAGACCGGCGCACGGGUGAGUAACGCGUAUGCAACCUGCCCUUUACAGGGGGAUAGCCCGUAGAAAUGCGGAUUAAUACCCCAUAGUACUAUUGGAUCGCAUGGUUUGAUAGUUGAAGUUUCGGCGGUAAAGGAUGGGCAUGCGUGACAUUAGCUAGUUGGAGAGGUAACGGCUCACCAAGGCUACGAUGUCUAGGGGUUCUGAGAGGAAGAUCCCCCACACUGGUACUGAGACACGGACCAGACUCCUACGGGAGGCAGCAGUGAGGAAUAUUGGUCAAUGGGCGAGAGCCUGAACCAGCCAUCCCGCGUGCAGGAAGAGUGCCCUAUGGGUUGUAAACUGCUUUUUCGCAUGAAGAACACUCCGGACGUGUCUGGAGCUGACGGUAAUGCGUGAAUAAGCACCGGCUAACUCCGUGCCAGCAGCCGCGGUAAUACGGAGGGUGCAAGCGUUAUCCGGAUUUAUUGGGUUUAAAGGGUGCGUAGGCGGUAAUAUAAGUCAGUGGUGAAAUCCUGCAGCUCAACUGUAGAACAGCCAUUGAAACUGCAUUACUUGAGUAAUCUUGAGGUAGGCGGAAUGUGUAGUGUAGCGGCGAA